rnacentral:lncRNA from 1 species
CCCCCCCUAGAGAUCUAUUUAAAGAGCCUUAAACCUAUAGAUUUUUCUCACCAAAUUCUACUGUCAUUAGCUGCCCCUUUUUCUUGUUUUCUUCUUGAAAUAUCGAUAGUUUUGACCUUAUUUGUAUUGGAAUUCGGAUACACAGUAAAAUUAAAUUUUAAAAAUUUUUAACAUGCAACAACAAUUGAAAAUAUAUCAUCCGAAUCCUAGAACCUAAAAUCAUCUUGAUGCAUUCAAUCAAACAUAAAUCACAUGUC